rnacentral:lncRNA from 1 species
AAAUGGAAAAUGCAAAAGCAUAACUUUAAUUAAAACUUAAAUUGUUUUACAACAAUAUUCUUAGUAAUUAACAGAAAAUACGUUCCAAAAAGCUUAACAAGUCUAACUUUGUCCUAGUAACACCUAAAACAUAAAUCUUGACUAAUGGAGCUUGGUAGAACCCAUUUCAAUCCAGUACCCCAAAGCUAUGAUGCCAACGAAUCAACUUGGAAGAACACAUUUCAUGCCCUCAUUUCAUUUCCUCAUCCUCUCACCCUGCAACUUAAAGUAUAUGAAACUUAGUCAUGUGAUCAAAACAAAAUACAUAUGCUCAUACACCUAUAUUAAUACAAUACAAAAUAAGUCCUAAACAACAUAAUAUCACUUGUCUACUGAAGUAUCAAUAACCAAAAAUACCAUGACGCGUCAUAAACUAAAUUUUAAUUACUUCCAUAGAUGGUUGAUGCAAAAAAGGGGGGGAAUCAAUUUGUAUAUCCAGAAUACUCACUUUCUUGAAGGUUGCUAUUAUAUUAACAGGAACCCAACCUUCUUCAUCCAAAAAAGCGUGCAAAAAAACAUCCCGCUAUGGAAUGAAAACUAGCUAACAAGAAGAAAUGCUUCAUUUCAUUCCUACAUUGCAAACAAAAAAUCAAGAUUUUUAAAAUGAAGUUUCACGCAUAAUCUUGAUAUAUAAAUUAAGCCAUCGUGAAUACAAUAAAAGAUGAAGACUUUUGGAAUGAAAAGUUAAACGCUAACUGCCUGGAGCAUCCCACAAAAUAAUAAAUAGAAAAAAGAAUUCAAUAAAUAAAUAAACAAUAACAAAUGUUUAAAUUUAAAAAUGAAUCAAGAAACUAUCAUGAUUGCAGGAGUUAAGAGGCAUUUAUUAGUGAAAAUAAACUUAUUAAAUUAAAAAAACAAACUAUCAAAUGAAAACCUUACCAAAAAGCUGUAUAACUUGAUGUCUUAUAUGUUGACGAUUAAAGUUUUUAUCUACAUUCCACACUACUCCUGUACUAUGCUUUCCCUGUCUUGCUCAACAUCCUAGAUAUCACACAAAAAACUUAGAUUUAUUGUUUAAACGAUUAUUUUAAAAUUUUCACACUAAAUUGGGUGAGAAUUUUGAGUAUUGGUACCAGUAAAGACGAAAACUGAAACAAUUAUCAUAGAGAAUAAAGGAACCAAGAUUACCAUUCAAUUUCUUUUUGUUUCAGAUCGGUUGUUAUAUAGCCACCGCCUAGACGAAACCCUAGAAUUGAAAGUCGGAAGGAAAGUGACUGAUAUCUUGAAAAUUAUAAAAAUAAGAAAGAAUGCAUCAGGAGAAAAUUCGUGGACAGCUAAAAGAAAAGGAGAAAGAUAAAAAUAAAAUAAAUAAAUAAAAAAAAUAAAAAAAAAAAAUAAAAAAAAACUCGAUGGUUUAAGAACUAGUUUUGAAUUUAGGAGAAGAAAUCUUGAAGAAAAUAGGCGUGGAUAAAGAAUCGGGAAAACACAUAAACAAAACAAAAAUUGACUAGGAAUCGAGAAUAGAUCCAGAAAGAAGGUACAUACUUGAAUCCAUGGCUUCGCUUAAUAAUCACAUUAUGUCCUUGAAUGCCACAUACAUCACUGGUGGUGUUCGUUGAUGAUAAUGCGCUUCGGUGGGAAUCGAAGGGUUCUACAUAAAAUUAGGGCAAAAAGAUAAGAAAUAAUAGAACUAUUUGGCGG